rnacentral:rRNA from 1 species
AUUGAACGCUGGCGGCAUGCUUUACACAUGCAAGUCGAACGGUAACAGGUUAAGCUGACGAGUGGCGAACGGGUGAGUAAUGCAUCGGAACGUGCCCGAUCGUGGGGGAUAACGCAGCGAAAGCUGCGCUAAUACCGCAUACGAUCUGAGGAUGAAAGCGGGGGACCGUAAGGCCUCGCGCGAUCGGAGCGGCCGAUGUCAGAUUAGGUAGUUGGUGGGGUAAAGGCUCACCAAGCCAACGAUCUGUAGCUGGUCUGAGAGGACGACCAGCCACACUGGGACUGAGACACGGCCCAGACUCCUACGGGAGGCAGCAGUGGGGAAUCUUGGACAAUGGGCGAAAGCCUGAUCCAGCAAUGCCGCGUGCAGGAAGAAGGCCUUCGGGUUGUAAACUGCUUUUGUACGGAGCGAAAAAGCUCUCUCUAAUACAGGGGGCUCAUGACGGUACCGUAAGAAUAAGCACCGGCUAACUACGCGCCAGCCGCCGCCGUAA